GAUGAACGCUGGCGGCGUGCUUAACACAUGCAAGUCGAACGGUGAAGCAGGAGCUUGCUCCUGUGGAUCAGUGGCGAACGGGUGAGUAACACGUGAGCAAUCUGCCCUGGACUCUGGGAUAAGCGUUGGAAACGACGUCUAAUACCGGAUACGAGGCGUGGGGGCAUCCCCAACGCCUGGAAAGAACUUCGGUCCAGGAUGAGCUCGCGGCCUAUCAGGUAGUUGGUGAGGUAACGGCUCACCAAGCCUACGACGGGUAGCCGGCCUGAGAGGGUGACCGGCCACACUGGGACUGAGACACGGCCCAGACUCCUACGGGAGGCAGCAGUGGGGAAUAUUGCACAAUGGGCGCAAGCCUGAUGCAGCAACGCCGCGUGAGGGACGACGGCCUUCGGGUUGUAAACCUCUUUUAGCAGGGAAGAAGCGAAAGUGACGGUACCUGCAGAAGAAGCACCGGCUAACUACGUGCCAGCCGCCGCAGUAAAAC
rnacentral:rRNA from 1 species